rnacentral:rRNA from 1 species
CUACGGGGGGCACCAGUGAGGAAUAUUGCACAAUGGGGGGAACCCUGAUGCAGCAACGCCGCGUGGAGGAUGACGCAUUUCGGUGUGUAAACUCCUUUUAUAUGUCAAGAAAAUGACGGUAGCAUAUGAAUAAGCACCGGCUAACUCCGUGCCAGCAGCCGCGGUAAUACGGAGGGUGCAAGCGUUACUCGGAAUCAUUGGGCGUAAAGGACGCGUAGGCGAGUUGGAAAGUCAGGUGUGAAAUCCUACAGCUUAACUGUAGAACUGCGCUUGAAACUUCUAAUCUAGAGUAUGGGAGGGGGAGAUGGAAUUAGUGGUGUAGGGGUAAAAUCCGUAGAUAUCACUAGGAAUACCUAAAGCGAAGGCGAUCUCCUGGAACAUUACUGACGCUAAGGCGUGAAAGCGUGGGGAGCAAACAGGAUUAGAUACCCGAGUAGUC